GGAAAUGUAGUUUAGUGGUAGAAUGCUUGCCUAGAAUGCAUGGUGCCCUGGGUUCAAUUCCUCAGUACCA
rnacentral:tRNA from 1 species